rnacentral:rRNA from 1 species
GAUGAACGCUGGCGGCGUGCUUAACACAUGCAAGUCGAACGAAGAAGCCCAGCUUGUUGGGCGGAUUAGUGGGGAACGGGUGAGUAAAACGCGAGUAAAAUGCCCUCGACUCGGGGUGAAGCCUGGGAAACAGGGCCGAACACAGGAUAUGACAUCUCAUGGAACGGUGGGGGGAGGAGAGAUUGAUGGGUCUUGGAUGGACUCGCGGCGUAUCAGCGCGUUGGUGAGGGAUUGGUGCACAAAGGGAAUGACGGGUAGACGGCAUGUGAGGGUGACCGGCCACACUGGGACUGAGGGACGGCCCAGACGCCUACGGGAGGCAGCAGUGGAGAAUAUUGCACAGUAGGCGCAAGCCUGAUGCAGCGACGCCGCGUGCGGGAUGACGGCCUUCGGGUUGUAAACCUCUUUCAGUGGGGAAGAAGCGAGAGUGACGGUACUUGCAGAAGAAGCGCCGGCUAACUACGUG